ensembl:lncRNA
GACUCAAUGGGCAUGAGUUUAAGCAAACUCUGGGAGAUGGUGAAGGACAGGGAAGUGUGGUGUGUUGCAGUCCAUGAGGUCACAAAGAGACAUGACUGAACAAGAGACUUGAUCUGAGCUCAAACACUUUCAGGGAGAAUGACUCAGGUCUUGUUCUAUCUAGUGACCUCAAGACAAAGACAGAACCCCCUGCUUCCAGGACACGAGUAUCAGCAGCUUGACCUCCACCCUUCUCUAUCCAAGGGUGUUCUGGUCAUAUCACUAUGUGAUGGCCCUCCUAUGGACCUCUCUGAACAAUUGCUCACAAAUAUUGAGGACUAAGAAAAAUGGAUGAAUUAUAUACUGUAUGCCCUUCCUUCUGUCCUCUGAUGAAAGAACAAAUAGCCUUUUGAUAACAACCUGUCUCAUAAAAAGUAUUCAAUAAGCUGAAUGAGAGAAUGAACCCAGGUCAACAACAAGAAGUCACUGAGGCAUGAAACAGACAUCAGCAAUCAGUUAGUUGGUCAGAGAAUAUUACAAUAGCAUGGAAGACAUCUUCCAAAGCAGUCUGUGGAAAGUUCCCUGAUGUGCAGUCUAUUAAGUGGGGUUCCCAGGAGCCUGGUGUAGAUUAAGCUCCUUAUUUCAUGUUAUAAAUUAAAACAGAAGAAAUCUAGUCCACUAGUCCUCCAGGCAAAUGCUUGAUUGUUCUUUGUAGGACUCCCCUGACAAUGUUAGAGUAGGUGGGUUUUAGAGGGAGUGAAUCAUCUGGAGAUUUAUCUAGGCAGGUAGAAUAAAAUAAUGAGCAGAAAGGUGCUUAAGGGAGCUGUUGGGAAAGAAUUAUGCCAAGAACACAGAGAAUGCGAGAGGGAGGAGGAAGGUGGGCUAGGCAAGAGGUUGUGAAAGGUUACGUUAACUCACCUCUAUUGCAUGCCCUCUUUUUACAUCUUUUUCAAUGAAAAGAUAAAAAGAAUUGAUGGAGCCUGAGAUGCCAGCCAUAGGCACUCACAUCCUGGUUUCUCUUUGCUACCACGUGGAAUCUGAACAAACUGGCAUAGACGAUAUUAUUUACAAAGCAGAAGAGAGACAGAGAUGUAGAGAACAAAUGUAUGGAUACCAAAGGGGAAAGCGUGAGUGAUGAGAUGAAUUGGGAGAUUGGGACUCACCUAAAAACACUAUUGAUACUAUGCAUAAAAUAGAUAAUUAAUGAGUACAGCACCGAGAACUCCACUCAGUGCUCUGUGGUGACCUAAAUGGGAAGGAAAUUUUUAAAAAGGGGAUAUAUGUAUACAUACAGCUGACUCACUUUGCUGUACAGUAGAAACGAACACAACACUGUAAAGCAACCAUACGCCAAUAAAGAUUUUAAAAAAUUUUUUUAAGUAGCGUGGUAUGAAGGAUAACUUGUUUUGAAGAAAUGUCUUAUCUUCCAUUGAUCACUCAGCUCUGGGUGGGUGAGGACAUCUACCUGGUGAGUCGCAGCAGGUGAGUAGGAGCUGAUGGCCCUGACUGUCCCUGAGCUGAUGCAACGGGCAGAUGGAGCUUUAUCUCCAGCUUAGAAAAUACCUUUGGACAAUACACUUGUCUAAAUAAAAG